AUUGAACGCUGGCGGCAGGCCUAACACAUGCAAGUCGAGCGGAUGAAGGGAGCUUGCUCCUGGAUUCAGCGGCGGACGGGUGAGUAAUGCCUAGGAAUCUGCCUGGUAGUGGGGGAUAACGUCCGGAAACGGGCGCUAAUACCGCAUACGUCCUGAGGGAGAAAGUGGGGGAUCUUCGGACCUCACGCUAUCAGAUGAGCCUAGGUCGGAUUAGCUAGUUGGUGGGGUAAAGGCCUACCAAGGCGACGAUCCGUAACUGGUCUGAGAGGAUGAUCAGUCACACUGGAACUGAGACACGGUCCAGACUCCUACGGGAGGCAGCAGUGGGGAAUAUUGGACAAUGGGCGAAAGCCUGAUCCAGCCAUGCCGCGUGUGUGAAGAAGGUCUUCGGAUUGUAAAGCACUUUAAGUUGGGAUGAAGGGCAGUAAGUUAAUACCUUGCUGUUUUGACGUUACCAACAGAAUAAGCACCGGCUAACUUCGUG
rnacentral:rRNA from 1 species